ensembl:snRNA U6 U6 spliceosomal RNA
GUACUCACUCUGACAACAUAUGUAUGAAAACUAAUAUGACACGGAGAAAAUUAGCAUAGCUCCUGUACAAAGAUGACAUGCAAAUUUGUGAAGCAUUUCUCAAUUUU